GAAGUCAUAGCGGACACCUACGAAGAAGGACUGUGUGAUGAUGGCAUCUCAGGUAAGCAGCACUGGGCGUUCUUCUGUCUAACUUUUACAUAGCUAGUAGUUAGCUCCUAUGAUUCAGUAUAUGUUCAUAACAUUCUACUAUAUUACAUACAUGCAUACCAUAGAAUCAUAAACCAUGCAAUUAUUAUUCUCAAGCUAAUCAGGCGUUCGUAGCUAAAUGCUUUUGUUCUCGCCAUUUUCAAUUGAAUUAUUUUAACUUUCUUUCAUGGCAACUCAUAAGCAGGCCAUGUCCUAUUUGUUUCAUAGUCAAUAUAUAAUCAUAUUUCAUGACAGUGUAACGGUUAGCUUUUUUUUACAGAUGGAUGAAAGAACACUAUGUCUGUCACAAAGAGUUUUUGCAGCGUGUAGAUGGUGCAGAGAGCGAGCUGAUCAAGGGGUCAAAAAUGUAGAUAUUUCCAGAGGUUCACUGUCCGAGGAACAGGCCGUGGAAGCUUUAUUGCUGGCAAGUGUCCACAACCAGAGGUUAUAUCAGCUGUUUUGGUGAACCCCUCCUGCAUCUGAACUGGCUGACACAGAGGGCACAGCAUGAUCAUAGGUAUGUUUUGAUGUGAGAGAGGAAGCCAGUCCGGUCAUUGCCACCUCACCCGCUCUUAAGAUAACCUUUGGGCCAACUGGGUGCCCAAGGCUGGUUAUGAACUGAGAGAAUAUUAGGGUAGCACUGUAAUUCAUUAAUCGUAUGCCGUCUGCCGCUGUUCUUACCUAUUUCCCUUUCUGUCUUCUACACCUCUCUCUUCCUCGUUUUAUAAUACACACCAUAUGUGCAUUGAAGUACAGAUUGAACUUGUAUUUAUAAUAUUACAAUUAUCAUAAUUAUAAUGCAUGUAUUUAUAACACCUGGAUCAUGAACUUCUUUCAAUAAAGCGUUUCACAUUCUCC